GCUAGACUGCUGUUGUUUCAAUGCUGGCAGAAGGCGUGGCUUCCUGAGUCGGACACAAAGAAUUUGCCACUCCUGGCACAGGAAGCAGGAGUCUCCCGGACUGCCCCUUGGAAUGUCUUCAGGAUUCCAGAGGCUAAAAAUAUCUUCCCAAAGCCACCACUGGCUUCCUUGUAAGGAGCUGGACUUAGCUGUGAGGCUGAAGGUCCCCUGCUCACAGAGAUAGUUUGUGCGGCACAACUUCGUCAUCAGCCCCGCACCCAGAUUCGGCCGCCAGCUGCCCGUCCUCGCUCCAGCCCUUCUCAAGACUGGUACCCUGAGAACAUUGAGAAUGUCCCUCCAGGAGCUGCUGAGGGAUGCUGAGAGGAAAGCCCCAGAAUUGGCACCAGAAGACCUAGUUUUGAGUCUUCACAUUGAUACUCGCUAGUUCUGUUUCUCUGAGCAAGUUACAUAACUUUUCUGGAUCCCUGUAAUAACAGCUGAGAAUAAAAUACCGGAAAGUAUAUAUAAGCACUUUGAAUAUGGACCUGGAGCCAGCCACGCCUGGGCUGCUCCGUCAGCUCCUUGAACAUGUUCGCCUCCCUUAACCCUCUGAAUCCUGGGUUCCCCACCAGCAAAUCAGAGUAUAUAGGAGCACCUGGCUGGCUCAGUUGGUAUCGCAUGUGACUCUUGAUCUUGGGGUCAGUGAGCUCAAGCCCCACACUGGGCGUAGAGCUUACUUAAAAAAA